CUUAAUCUGUUGCAUAUAUAAAUGUUUAUUCCAAUUCAAUAUAAUUCAUGUGCUUACUUAUUAUCCAUUUAAUUCAUAUACCCUAAAUUCCACUAAUCGAAACAUAUGUCAAAUCGUGAUGUGAUAUUAAUUCAUGACAUAACAAGGCAUGCUAAAUCUUUAUUAACAAAACAGUCUAGUCAAUUUUAUUUAACUAUGAUGGAUUAAUAAACCACGUGCAAUAAUAUAUAACAAUAGCUUUAUCAUGCAUUUUGAAGUACAAAAUAAUAAUUACAUUUGACCUCGACGUACCUUGCAUUGCCACCAAGAUAGCAGAAGAAGGUGUCGAUGAGGGUGCUCUCGCCUACGAUGUCCAAAACCAAUCCAAUCUCCACAGCAGGAUCACGGUGCAAGCUUUUAAAAAAGAACAGUUUCAUAUACUCAAAGGUUGACCUUCUAAUGAAGCAUUUAGUAAAUAAGUACAUCACAGAGUGAACUUUCCUAGGGAUCAAUUAAUAGUAUAGUAUAACACUCUUUUGCUUCAGUAUUUAUGUUUGGUUGGUCCUUUAAAUUAAUAUCAUAUUUACACGAUCAAUUUACAUAUUUUUCAAACCAUAAGGUAUCGUUUCUUUAGUUCGUGCCAUGAUUAUUUUAUAUGGAGGACAGAUGGUUGCUCACAGCCACAACACGUAGCAUGGCCACACUUUGCAAGUUGCAAGGAAGUAACUCAAUUAUUGGUUGAACAUUGCAGUUUUGGUUAAUUAAACCAGAAGAACAUUUAGGUUUUUUCUAAUCACCAAUCAAGAAACAAACAAAAAGAUAAACUGAGAAGCAACACAAUUAAGCCACCGUUUUCCGAAAAUGAGCUGGAAAUCCAACCAUGAAAUGAACAUGUACAAUAGACAGAAAUAUAUACCAUAUUAGAACUGACUACUACUCUAGACCAGCAGGGAAUGCAGCAAUUUAGAAUUACAGAUCGUGAUGUGAUAUUAAUUCAUGACAUAACAAAGCAUGCUAAAUCUUUAUUAGCAAAACAGUCUAGUCAAAUAUAUUUAACUAUGAUAUUUAACAUCAGUCACUCUUUGUAUUAAAUGUAUUGCAGUUUAUGUUCUGGAGCAGAACAUUUGUCUCAAGUUUUGCAUGGAGCUGUGCCAGAUGGCUUUUGGGAUUCUGGUGCGCAUAUGGCAUCUACUACUUGUUUUCUUCUUAAUGUAAUAUAAUUAUACAUGGUUCUACUAAUCUUGUUUCUCAUUCUAGUUGAGUAUAUCCAUUGAAGUUCCUGGUGAAGAACCAUACCAUUUUCAGCCCCGUCUGUUUUCUAAGGUAAUCACUCACCAUUCUAUUUAGAUGUUACUUUUCAUACUUGUUAUCUGUUAUUAAGGUAAAGUGUGAGUUUCACUGUAUAGCAUAUAGCUAGCACUUUGUCAGUUUGUCUUCAAGACAAGGGUCAGAUACAGAAUAGAAAUUUAUUUAUGACUUCUAGAUGCUGAGACUCAAUCAAAAGGUCAAAACUGAAAAAAUUAAAUAACUCCAGAGAAACAAAAUACACACACACACAAGGUUCACUUUACAUUUUUUCUACUGUAUAAACACAGUACACAGGCAAUGGAGAUACAAAUCAAGAUGUUGCUUUGUGUUAUUUUUUAAAGAAGUAUUUAGCAGGUCUUCUCCAUUCUAAGGUAAUCACUCACCAUUCUUUUUGUUCCAUAUGCAGUGUCACUGCAUUUUUAUUAGAAUUUUAUCUUGUUUAUUGUUUGACUGAUUUUUGUAUUGUUGAUUGAGAACCUCCCAUGCUUGAUCUUUUGUCUAUAUGAAGAAAAUCUAUUAAAAACUUGAAUCUAUAUUUUCUGCAACCAUCCAUACAUCCUAAACCUUGAUGUUGAUUGUAUUUCACUUGGGACAAAAUUUUUGGGGUAACCUACAAACACGCUUAGCCAUUGACCAAGCUCAACAAACUGGGCUACAUCCGAGGACACGACUCAAACUGAACAAAACAGAAAGGAAUACAGUUAGGCUGACGAAACUGAAUGGCUAACAAACAAACUGGUACAUCAGAGAAUCACAAGUGAAUGUGGUAGUGAGUUUCCAGAAGAGUCAUUUGUGUAUAGAAUCAAAAUAACAUGGCAACAGAGCACAGCAAUAAGUAAACUUAAUAUAUUGGGCCUUUUUAGCCUAUGCCCCUAUGUGCAGAAGGAUCAGGUGUUGGAAUUAACAAGAACAAUAUUAGCUGUUGUAUAUAGAGCACAGGUUUUUUUCUUUGCCUUCCAUCUGAGAUUUUAUAUUAGCUGUUGUAUACGCUGCUUAUCCCCGCAGCCGCUCUUUAAUGCUUCUUAUGUUUAUUUAUGAUAACAUGCCGUAUCCUGUAUCUCUAGUUUCAUAUAGUUAUUUAUUUAACUUCAUUUAUGAAUUGUAUGUCCAAUCCUUAGAAAUGCCACCAGUGGCUAAUUGUGUAAAAGAUGAUCAGUAGUAGUAAUAAAAAAAUGUUUCCUUUGGAACCACCAAAUGGGCAUGACAUUUUACCAUAAGUUGGGUUGCACAUGGCCACACUAAAUCACAAAUCAGAACUAUUGUCAGUUUCUGAAUUUUUGCAACACAGGUCAUGCAUUUUGCCUGUAGUCAAGGAUGGUGAAGGUCCAAUCAUGUGCAUAUUUUUGGUUUUGUUGCAUGAAUGUUUUGUUGCACUUUUUUUGACUUCUUGCAGUAUUUUCUACCUUUUGAAAUUAUGCUAUAUAGUUGUAAACCAAACAUGUAUUUAUGUGAUAAUUUAGUUUUCCAGAAACAGUUUUCCUCUCUAUUUCAGAGAAUGAUCUGGUACUUUGUGAAGUUUUUUUGUUUGUUUGCUUGUGCAGACUCCGAUGAACCUCUCAAUUGACGAGCGAUGCAAGAUAAAUAAUUUGUCCACAAGUAUGAUUGCAUUAUCCCAGGUGCUUAUGAAAGUUUUUACCUUUUCUUCAAUAUGAAGUCUGAAUGUGUGGUGUGGCCUGUCUGAUCUAUCUAGCAGGUUUAGUGGUACUCGCAUCAGCUAAACCUUAAACCUGUUUUCUACUUAAUGUAAUAUAAUUAUACAUGGUUCUACUUUUCCAAUACCAAUUGCAGAUCCCUUCGUUUUGAUAAGUAAACAUGAGACCCCUUUUGCUAGAAUGUUUGUAUUUGUAAAUAUUGGGACACAACUAAAAAUAUUAUGAGUCUUCAAAAUCGGUGUGCUUAAGUUUAAGCUCCCUAGCUCCAUUAGUGAUGUAUCACCAGACUCUGAACUACAUCUGUAGCUAACAAGGCAAUUGUUUUGCUUGUACUGGUACCAUGAACCAUCAUCAGAUCAGGGCAAACAAUACCAAGUCAAAGCCCAAUUGUCACUAUCUAAUACUAAUGUUCAUCGACCUAGCAUUAUGAUGGUUAACUAAAAAGAUACUUCAUCAUCAGGUUCGUGAAAACCUUAAUUUUAAUCUCAGUUUGGUUUGUUUUCAGGAAUAAAAAGUCAGUGGGAGUUAUAAGAGAGAGAAGUACCAUAAGCUCAAACAAUUGCAAUUACCAAUCCACUAAAGUUUAAUAUUACUGAGUUCAAACUAAUUGACAACACAAGCAACAACAGCCUUUUAGGCUUGAUUCCAUACAAAUCAUGCUAGAAUAAGCUAUACACAUGGCUUAGCGACAAAAAGAGAUGACAUACAAAUCUAGAAAACAGGGUAAAUGAGAAUUUAAAACCUGUAUAUCCGUGUGUAUGCAGAACUGAAGCUUGUCGGAAGUGCUUAUCUCAAAGCCAAAGCGAUCUUGUUAUUCUACACAGUGAUUACAAAUAGGAAGAGGACAACCAUUAAAAUGUACGUGCGUCGCAGGGUUUAGGGUUUCGUUGAAGAACAGCCAAAUAGAGUAUAAUAGAGAACACACGGACCUGGGUUCCCAGCAUGAAGCAGCACGUGGAGGGACAGCUCUUUGGACCUUAUCUCGAGCAGUCUCGUCGCAAAGCUGCAGGGAAUCGCCG
rnacentral:lncRNA from 1 species